rnacentral:rRNA from 1 species
UUGAACGCUGGCGGCAUGCUUUACACAUGCAAGUCGAGCGGCAGCGCGGGGCAACCUGGCGGCGAGCGGCGAACGGGUGAGGAAUACAUCGGAACGUGCCCGAGAGUGGGGGAUAACGCCGCGAAAGCGGCGCUAAUACCGCAUACGAUCCAAGGAUGAAAGCAGGGGACCGCAAGGCCUUGUGCUCCUGGAGCGGCCGAUAUCUGAUUAGCUAGUUGGUGAGGUAAAGGCUCACCAAGGCGACGAUCAGUAGCUGGUCUGAGAGGACGACCAGCCACACUGGAACUGAGACACGGUCCAGACUCCUACGGGAGGCAGCAGUGGGGAAUUUUGGACAAUGGGCGCAAGCCUGAUCCAGCAAUGCCGCGUGAGUGAAGAAGGCCUUCGGGUUGUAAAGCUCUUUUGUCAGGGAAGAAACGGUGGGGGCUAAUAUCCUCCACUAAUGACGGUACCUGAAGAAUAAGCACCGGCUAACUACGUGCCAGCAGCCGCGGUAAUACGUAGGGUGCAAGCGUUAAUCGGAAUUACUGGGCGUAAAGCGUGCGCAGGCGGUUUUGUAAGUCUGAUGUGAAAUCCCCGGGCUCAACCUGGGAAUUGCAUUGGAGACUGCAAGGCUAGAAUCUGGCAGAGGGGGGUAGAAUUCCACGUGUAGCAGUGAAAUGCGUAGAGAUGUGGAGGAACACCGAUGGCGAAGGCAGCCCCCUGGGUCAAGAUUGACGCUCAUGCACUAAAGCGUGGGAGCAAACAGGAUUAGAUACCCUGGUAGUCCACGCCCUAAACGAUGUCUACUAGUUGUCGGGUUUUAAUUAACUUGGUAACGCAGCUAACGCGUGAAGUAGACCGCCUGGGGAGUACGGUCGCAAGAUUAAAACUCAAAGGAAUUGACGGGGACCCGCACAAGCGGUGGAUGAUGUGGAUUAAUUCGAUGCAACGCGAAAAACCUUACCUACCCUUGACAUGUCAGGAAUCCACGAGAGAUCGAGGAGUGCCCGAAAGGGAACCUGAACACAGGUGCUGCAUGGCUGUCGUCAGCUCGUGUCGUGAGAUGUUGGGUUAAGUCCCGCAACGAGCGCAACCCUUGUCAUUAGUUGCUACGAAAGAGCACUCUAAUGAGACUGCCGGUGACAAACCGGAGGAAGGUGGGGAUGACGUCAAGUCCUCAUGGCCCUUAUGGGUAGGGCUUCACACGUCAUACAAUGGUACAUACAGAGGGCCGCCAACCCGCGAGGGGGAGCUAAUCCCAGAAAGUGUAUCGUAGUCCGGAUUGUAGUCUGCAACUCGGCUACAUGAAGUUGGAAUCGCUAGUAAUCGCGGAUCAGCAUGUCGCGGUGAAUACGUUCCCGGGUCUUGUACACACCGCCCGUCACACCAUGGGAGCGGGUUUUACCAGAAGUAGGUAGCUUAACCGCAAGGAGGGCGCUUACCACGGUAGGGUUCGUGACUGGGGUG